rnacentral:rRNA from 1 species
GAGUUUGAUCCUGGCUCAGGAUGAACGCUAGCGGCAGGCUUAACACAUGCAAGUCGAGGGGUAACAGGGAUUGCUUGCAAUCCGCUGACGACCGGCGCACGGGUGCGUAACGCGUAUGCAACCUACCUUCUACAGGGGGAUAGUCAAUAGAAAUGUUGAAUAAUACCCCAUACGAUCAUGAAUUCGCAUGGAUUUAUGAGGAAAGUUCCGGCGGUAGAAGAUGGGCAUGCGUCCUAUUAGUUAGUUGGUAAGGUAACGGCUUACCAAGACAUCGAUAGGUAGGGGUCCUGAGAGGGAGAUCCCCCACACUGGUACUGAGACACGGACCAGACUCCUACGGGAGGCAGCAGUGAGGAAUAUUGGACAAUGGAGGCAACUCUGAUCCAGCCAUGCCGCGUGCAGGAAGACGGCCCUAUGGGUUGUAAACUGCUUUUAUACAGGAAGAAUUGUGCCUACGUGUAGGUAUUUGACGGUACUGUACGAAUAAGGAUCGGCUAACUCCGUGCCAGCAGCCGCGGUAAUACGGAGGAUCCAAGCGUUAUCCGGAAUCAUUGGGUUUAAAGGGUCCG